rnacentral:rRNA from 1 species
AGCUUGCUAGUUUGUCAGCUAAGUGGCGCACGGGUGAGUAAUAUAUAGUUAAUCUGCCCCAAAGAAGAGAAUAAUUGUUGGAAACGACUUGUAAUGCUCUAUAUGCCUUUAUUACAUAAGUAAGCAAGGGAAGCAUUUAUGGCUUUGGGAUGAGACUGUACGGUAUCAGCUAGUUGGUGAGGUAAUGGCUCACCAAGGCUAUGACAUCUAACUGGUUUGAGAGGAUGAUCAGUCACACUGGAACUGAGACACGGUCCAGACUCCUACGGGAGGCAGCAGUGGGGAAUAUUGCACAAUGGAGGAAACUCUGAUGCAGCAACGCCGCGUGGAGGAUGACACAUUUCGGUGCGUAAACUCCUUUUAUAUGAGAAGAUAAUGACGGUAUCAUAUGAAUAAGCACCGGCUAACUCCGUGCCAGCAGCCGCGGUAAUACGGGGGGUGCAAGCGUUACUCGGAAUCACUGGCCGUCGU